rnacentral:rRNA from 1 species
GACGAACGCUGGCGGCGUGCCUAAUACAUGCAAGUCGAGCGAAUCUUGAGGUGCUUGCACCUCUUGGUUAGCGGCGGACGGGUGAGUAACACGUGGGCAACCUGCCUGUAAGACUGGGAUAACACCGGGAAACCGGUGCUAAUACCGGAUAAUCCUUUUCCUCUCAUGAGGAAAAGCUGAAAGUCGGUUUACGCUGACAC